UACGUAGGUGACAAGCGUUGUCCGGAUUUACUGGGCGUAAAGAGCGCGCAGGCGGUCGUUCAAGUCGAGUGUGAAAGCCCCCGGCUCAACUGGGGAGGGUCAUUCGAUACUGAUCGACUCGAAGGCAGGAGAGGGUAGUGGAAUUCCCGGUGUAGUGGUGAAAUGCGUAGAUAUCAAGAGGAACACCUGAGGUGAAGACGGGUUGCUGGGCUGACACUGACGCUGAGGCGCGAAAGCUAGGGUAGCAAACGGG
rnacentral:rRNA from 1 species